UACGUAGGAUGCAAGCGUUGUCCGGAAUUAUUGGGCGUAAAGAGCGAGCAGGCGGUUACUCAAGUCAGAUGUAAAAUAUCCCGGCUUAACCGGGAGGGGCCAUUUGAAACUGGGUAACUAGAGUGAAGCAGAGGAUAGCGGAAUUCCCGGUGUAGUGGUGAAAUUCGUAGAUAUCGGGAGGAACACCAAUGGCGAAGGCAGCUCGCUGGGACGGUACGUGACGCUGAGA
rnacentral:rRNA from 1 species